GACGAACGCUGGCGGCGUGCUUAACACAUGCAAGUCGAACGGAAAGGCCCUGCUUUUGUGGGGUGCUCGAGUGGCGAACGGGUGAGUAACACGUGAGUAACCUGCCCUUGACUUUGUGAUAACUUCAGGAAACUGGGGCUAAUACCGGAUAGGAGCUCCUGCUGCGUGGUGGGGGUUGGAAAGUUUCGGCGGUUGGGGAUAGACUCGCGGGUUAUCAGCUUGUUGGUGGGGUAGUGGCUUACCAAGGCUUUGACGGGUAGCCGGCCUGAGAGGGGUAACGGGCUCAUUGGUCCUAAGAGAGGGCGCAGAAUCGUACGGGAGGCAGCGGGCGGAAACAUGGCAGAAUGGGGGGAAGUGUGAGGCAGAAGCGCCGCGAGCGGGAUACCGGCUUUCUGGUUAUGAACCGCUGUCGCCUGUGACGAAGCGUGAGUGACGGUAAUGAGUAAAGAAGCACCGGCUAACUACGUG
rnacentral:rRNA from 1 species